AGAAAGAAAUGGAGCCAAAGGAGGAGUUGGGUUGAGUUUGGGUCUUGAGCAAGAAUAGGGACAAGAUCUUAAGAGAUUGUCUAUCAAGGCUUCAUGAAGGUUUAGAGAAGUCUAGAAGUGUCAUGAAGGCUGUGCAAAGAUAGGGUUUGAGUCCAGGAGGGACUUAGACACCAUUUGGAGACAGAUGGGUGAUGGUGCAAAGAUAGGGCGACCAGAUGAUCAGACGGUACGGACGGUACAAAACUGGACGGGCCGGGCAAUCUUAGGGCGACCCAAACCGAGUCAGGUCUAACCAUUGGAGAUGUUUGGGUGAGAUGUGCAAAAAUAGGGCGAGGUACGGACAGGCGGUACGUACCAUCAACCGUACUUCACCCAGGAUCGACCAGAAGUUGUGCAAACUUAGGGCGUCGGUUUAGAGAGCGAUUAGGCGACCUUGUCUGAUUGUAAUCAGACUGUUUGUGGAUAAGGAAGAGAGAGGACGUGGUCAACAAGGACAGGCUGUCAAGAGGUGUAAAAGGAAAGCAAAGGGGACCAUGUAUCUAGCUAAAGAAGUGGGAAGGUUCAUGGGAGCCUUUGAGGAACCAAUCAGAAGCCUGCCCUUGCCUUGACCAGUUUGAAUGGACCAAUCACCAGCCAGCCUUCCUUAACCAAUCAGAAGCCAUCACCAAGAUUGCAAAGACCAAAACAAGACUACAUCCAAGCCAUCCAUUUCACAAGUCAUUUCUAGCCAUUAGAUUAAGGGUUUCUAAUGUUUCAAAGUGUAAAGCUUAUAAAAGCAUGUGUAUGGACGAAAAUUAAAGCUCUUAAGAGAGUAUGGGGGAUUUCCCCAUCUCCUUCAUAUUAUAAAGUAUGUUCUUGAUCAGAUUCUCUUAAUCUCUCCCUUUCUUAGUCUCUAAUCUCUUAAUCUCUCAAAGUCUCUUUGUUUCUGAUCUAAGUUCAUACUAGUUCAUCAGAUUCUUUCUUCACCAUUUCAAGACUCUAUUCUGCCCUAAGAGGCUUGUUCUUCACACACACAUCCUAGACUCUUAAAUCUCAUAUGGUAUCAGAGCCAGGUUCAUUAGAACUUGGUUCAAGCUUCCGCUAAGCUCAAGGCUUCUCCCAUGUCAUUUCCAAACCAAGAAGAAGCUUCAUGUUCAGCCUGCUGUAAAACCUCUCCAAGAAGAAGGUGGGCUCAUACAUGGCGUCCAGUAGCUGUCUCUGGUUGUUCUCCACGUUCUCAUGUCCACCCUUGAAGAAAGAAGGCCUUGGAAGCAAAGGUUAUGAAGUGGUCUAGCUAGCCUCUUCAACAAACCAGAUCCAGGCGAGUCUCAUGGUGAUUCUCAUGAAGAAAGGUGGUCUCUUUGACAUGGUGGGUUCAAGAGGAAGGUCCAUGGAAGCAGGAGAUGUUGGGGUCGACACCAACAGCUCAGAUCUUGCCAUGUACUAAGGAGUUUCAAGGAACUAACACUAGUUCCUUGGCUGUAAGGAAAUCUCUUUCUCUUGUAUAAAGCUUGAGUAUUUGAACUGAAAAUUAUAUUAAACUGAUUGUGAUGUGGUGUUGUGAUUGAAAACUUGAGGAUAUAUUAAAGAUUGCUAAAUAAAAUGAAAUGAAUUUAGAAUCUGUCCCAUAAUGCUUAAAAAGUCUUGUUUGGUGGUUGAAAAGUUUAAAAAUGCUUAACCCUGAUUCUAGUGAGGCUUGUUAGGGAGUUAGAAGUUGUCUAAACCUGAUUGCUUUCAUGAAAUGAGAUCACCUAAGGUUAUGCAUUGGGUCUGAUAUUGGUUGUUGAUAGUAGUGCUUAACUAAGGUUCAUAGUGAUGCUUGUUGUGAUUGCUUAAAUCUGCUUGCAUACAUGGAUUGAAACCGUUUUAAAGUUAUUGCAUACUGUCUUGUGGCUGUCUUACAUUGAAGCAUUAGAUUCAUGUCUAAAUUGCUGAGUAAAGAAGCUUUAAAAAUUGCCUAAGUAGCUUGUAUUGAAUCUGUUAAGAUCAUGCUUGUGCUUAGAGAGUUUGCUUGCAAAGAUUAGAACUUGAAAAUGACUUGUUUAAUCUGUUGCAAUGCUUGUGAUAUUGGGAAUCAAACUUGAUGAUUAAUCAAGGAUUGAUCCCAAUACUAUUGUGUCUUAUCUUUGCUGGAGUUUGAGUGAUGUUUCAGGUUCACAAGAAGUGUUCUUUGCUCACCAUCCAUCCGAGUAUAAGAGGAAGACUUGUUGCCCAUUGUGUGUGCAAUGGAGAGUGGUUACUAGUGUGAUAUGGCGCCACUGGUGUGAAGUCUCACUGAAGCUCACUUCAAGCUUGAACCUAGAUUAGGCCAAGCUUGAGGAGGGGAGUUGAGUGAGCUUCCUAGGCAAUCCAAGAAGUCCAUUGCAAGCACCUGAAGAAGGAGCCAUCCGGGUUUAGGCUGUGGCGAGUCUAUUCAAGAGAGUACUCAAACUAAGACAGAGUACUCUUGGCUGUGAGAAGAUUAAGGCUACUCUAUCAAGGCGGCUUCUAGUGUGAGGUGGUUGAAGAGAUAGCUGAGGCUUCCACAAGCAUUCCAUUCAAGAUGGCGAGUUCAAGAAGAGGCUGCAAUGGUGUGUGUGUGUUGAUCAUGAAGCCAUCCGUUCAAGCUUGUUCCUGUGAGAGUCUCAAGCUUGAGGGGGAGUGUUGAAGCUUACAUGAUCAGAAUGAGCUUGGUGGUUAUUCUAGAAGAGGAAGCAACCUGUUGGGAAGUAUGAUGAAGGAUGAAGAAGCAAUGUCCAAGGCGGCUUCAAGUGUUGAGGUGAUUGGAGAGUGGCUGAAACAUCCUCAUGUAGUUCCAGCAACAAGGUGGCGACUCUAGAAGAAGAAGAAGCAGCCAAGACUCAGCAAGAGUGUUGUAUCUCCAAGAAGAGGCUGAUAUGGUGUGUCCGAGCACUUCAACCUAACAAGAGAUUAGGUGAAAGGGGGAGAGACCAAGAUCAGGCAGUAAGGAGAGUACAAGGCGUGGGGAGAAUGAAGAGGCCAUGAUCCAGAGUCUUUGUGUCCCUUACAUUGUUGGUAAGGCACAAAGACUCACUGGCCAAUCCCUAGGCCAUGGAGACUUUACUCUUUUUCCCUCAUCAAGGUUUUGUCCCAAAGGGUUUUCCUUGGUGAGGUUUUUAAUGAGGAAGUUCUUCAAGGUUCCAAGCUUGACUUAGGAUCAGCUAAAGUCAAGCUUGAGGGGGAGUGUUGACUUGAAGAAAGAAAUGGAGACAAAGGAGGAGUUGGGUUGAGUUUGGGUCUUGAGCAAGAAUAGGGACAAGAUCUUAAGAGAUUGUCUAUCAAGGCUUCAUGAAGGUUUAGAGAAGUCUAGAAGUGUCAUGAAGGCUGUGCAAAGAUAGGGUUUGAGUCCAGGAGGGACUUAGACACCAUUUGGAGAUAGUUGGGUGAUGGUGCAAAGAUAGGGCGUCUCGAGGUUCAGACGGUACUGACGGUACGGACAAACCGUGCAAACUUAGGGCGACCCAGAACCUGAUCACACUCAACCAUUGGAGAUGUUUGGGUGAGAUGUGCAAACUUAGGGCGCGGUACGGACAGGCGGUCCGUACCAUCAACCGUACUUCACCCAGGAUCGACCAGAAGUUGUGCAAACUUAGGGCGUCGGUUUAGAGAGCGAUUAGGCGACCUUGUCUGAUUGUAAUCAGACUGUUUGUGGAUAAGGAAGAGAGAGGACGUGGUCAACAAGGACAGGCUGUCAAGAGGUGUAAAGGGAAAGCAAAGGGGACCAUGUAUCUAGCUAAAGAAGUGGGAAGGUUCAUGGGAGCCUUUGAGGAACCAAUCAGAAGCCAGCCCUUGCCUUGACCAGUUUGAAUGGACCAAUCACCAGCCAGCCUUCCUUAACCAAUCAGAAGCCAUCACCAAGAUUGCAAAGACCAAAACAAGACUACAUCCAAGCCAUCCAUUUCACAAGUCAUUUCUAGCCAUUAGAUUAAGGGUUUCUAAUGUUUCAAAGUGUAAAGCUUAUAAAAGCAUGUGUAUGGACGAAAAUUAAAGCUCUUAAGAGAGUAUGGGGGUUUUCCCAUCUCCUUCAUAAUUAUAAAAGUGUGUUCUUGAUCAGAUUCCCUUAAUCUCUCCCUUUCUUAGUCUCUAAUCUCUUAAUCUCUCAAAGUCUCUUUGUUUAUGAUCUAAGUUCAUACUAGUUUCAUCAGAUUCUUUCUUCACCAUUUCAAGACUCUAUUCUGCCCUAAGAGGCUUGUUCUUCACACACACAUCCUAGACUCUUAAAUCUCAUAUGG
rnacentral:lncRNA from 1 species